UACGGGGGGGGCAAGCGUUGUUCGGAAUUACUGGGCGUAAAGGGCUCGUAGGCGGCCAAUUAAGUCAGACGUGAAAUCCCUCGGCUUAACCGGGGAACUGCGUCUGAUACUGGAUGGCUUGAGUUCGGGAGAGGGAUGCGGAAUUCCAGGUGUAGCGGUGAAAUGCGUAGAUAUCUGGAGGAACACCGGUGGCGAAGGCGGCAUCCUGGACCGACACUGACGCUGAGGAGCGAAAGCCAGGGGAGCAAACGGG
rnacentral:rRNA from 1 species